rnacentral:rRNA from 1 species
GACGAACGCUGGCGGCGUGCUUAACACAUGCAAGUCGAACGGAAAGGCCCCUUUGGGGGUACUCGAGUGGCGAACGGGUGAGUAACACGUGAGUAACCUGCCCUUGACUUCGGGAUAACUUCAGGAAACUGGGGCUAAUACCGGAUAGGAAUCCUUGCUGCAUGGUGGGGGUUGGAAAGCUUCGGCGGUUUUGGAUGGACUCGCGGCUUAUCAGCUUGUUGGUGGGGUAGUGGCUUACCAAGGCUUUGACGGGUAGCCGGCCUGAGAGGGCGACCGGCCACAUUGGGACUGAGAUACGGCCCAGACUCCUACGGGAGGCAGCAGUGGGGAAUAUUGCACAAUGGGCGGGAGCCUGAUGCAGCAACGCCGCGUGCGGGAGGACGGCCUUCGGGUUGUAAACCGCUUUCAGCAGGGGCGAAGCUUGUGGUGACGGUACCUGCAGAAGAAGCACCGGCUAACUACGUG